rnacentral:lncRNA from 1 species
ACAUUUGGGGCCACCAAAAAUCUCGUGAAAUGAGCUCCAAAGUCUUGUUGAAUCCAAAAUGUCCCGCAGCUGGAAAGUCGUGGCGAGAUUGAAGUACUCGGAGUCGAGUUGGUCCUUUCGGGAUAUACAACCGCUCCUCAAAAUACAGAAGAUCUCCCUCCACCUUAAACUUGUCAUUAUCGACACGUUGUUUGAUGUCAAGAGCUAUAGAAUCUUCAAU